rnacentral:rRNA from 1 species
CCUACGGGUGACUGCAGUGAGGAAUAUUGGUCAAUGGGCGCGAGCCUGAACCAGCCAAGUCGCGUGAGGGAUGAAGGUUCUAUGGUUCGUAAACCUCUUUUAUAAGGGAAUAAAGUGUGGGUCGUGUCCGAUUUUGUAUGUACCUUAUGAAUAAGGAUCGGCUAACUCCGUGCAAGCAGCCGCGGUAAUACGGAGGAUCCGAGCGUUUUCCGGAUUUGUUGGGUUUAAGGGUUGCGAGGUGGUCCUUUUAAGGAAGCGGUGAAUGGCUGUGGCUCAACCAUGGACUUGCCGUUGAAACUGGGGGGCUUGAGUAUGUUUGAGGCAGGCGGAAUGCGUAGUGUAGCGGUGAAAUGCUUAGAUAUCACGCAGAACCCCGAUUGCGAAGGCAGCCUGCCAAGCCAUGACUGACGCUGAUGCACGAAAGCGUGGGGAUCAAACAGGAUUAGAUACCCUAGUAGUC